AUCUGGAUGGCUCAGUCAGAAGAGCAUGGGAUUCUUAAUCUCCAGGUUGUGAGUUCAAGCCCCACGUUGGGUG
rnacentral:tRNA from 1 species